CGUCGACGUCGCCGAAGCUCUCUCGAUCCAAUCAUUUGCUGAAUUCAGUCCCGAUUCCGCCAUCGCCAAACCCUAGCUAAGCUCCACCGAACCCCCAAUCCCCGAACCACCACCACCACCACCACCCCCCUUCCCGCCAUGGCCAAGAAGCGAAAGCUUCGAUCCUCCGACCCCUCCCCGGCCAAACCCGCCGAGCCUCAGGACCAGCAAGAGCCCUCUCAGGCCAGCCAGCCCGAGCCGGUCCCCGAGGAGACAGCGAAGCAAGAGCCGCAGAGCAUGGCCGUGGACGAUUCUGCGCAGGAGAAUCCGGCUUCGGAUGUCAAACCGCAGAUCGGAGAACCGGAGGCGGAGAAGGUACAAGGAAGGCCAGAAGCUGAGGAAGAAGAGCGGGAGCGGGAGCAGGAGCCGGAAGAGCGAAUUGAUUUAAAUGCGUCGAGCGGAGGCGGCGUCGCGUCGGAGCCGGCAGCAUCCCAGGCGAAUGGAGCUUCGGAGGAGAAUAAUGAAGAGGAGGAAGACGUGGGUGACGUGGACGACGAGCCUGUGGAGAAGCUUCUGGAGCCGUUCACUAAGGAGCAGCUGACUAUGGUUCUCAAGCAGGCCGUGGCUAAGUACCCCGACUUGAUUGAGAGCGUGAGAGGGGUGGCGGACGCGGAUCCUGCUCACAGGAAGAUCUUCGUGCACGGCCUUGGCUGGGACGCCACUGCCGAAUCCCUAAUUUCAGUUUUCGGGAAGUACGGGGAGAUCGAGGACUGCAAGGCGGUCACGGACAGGGUCUCCGGGAAGUCGAAGGGCUAUGCAUUCAUCCUGUUCAAGCAUCGGAGCGGCGCGCGGAGGGCUCUCAAGCAGCCGCAGAAGAAGAUUGGCAACCGCGUCACCUCAUGCCAGCUGGCGUCCACGGGCCCCGUCCCAGCCCCGCCUCCUAGCGCGCCUCCUGUUUCGGAGUACACCCAAAGGAAGAUCUUCGUGAGCAAUGUGUCAGCUGAGGUUGAUCCUGAGAAGCUAUUGGAGUUCUUUAAGCAGUUUGGGGAGGUUGAGGAUGGUCCUCUGGGGCUCGAUAAACAGACUGGUAAGCCGAAAGGUUUCGCGCUGUUUGUUUACAAGUCCGUUGAGAGUGCUAAGAAGGCUUUGGAGGAGCCGUACAAGACCUUCGAAGGAAUUACUUUGCACUGCCAAAAGGCAAUUGAUGGGCCAAAACCAGGUAAAACCUUCAGCGGGCAUCAACAGCAUCACCAAUACCACCAACCACAGUAUUCGCAUCCCAGGAAAGAGAAAAAUAAGUAUGCAGCUGGUGGUGGGUCGGCUCCAGGACAUUUGAUGGCGCCUGCGGGACCAGCCGUUGGGUUUAAUCCUGGCCCAGCGCAGGCAUUUAAUCCAGCACUUGGACAGGCCUUGACUGCUAUUCUUGCCACCCAAGGAGCUGGGUUGGGAAUUGGUAAUUUGCUGGGAGGUAUAGGAGCACCUCCGAUGAACCAAGGUGGCAUGCCCGGAGGAUAUGCUAGCCAACCUGCCGGAAGCUAUGGGAUGCAACCUGGGAUGCAAGGUGUUUAUCAGAAUCCACAGAUGGGUCAGGGGACUUCUGGUCGUCCUCCGCAGGGCGGUGGACCCCCAUACAUGGGACACUAGCUUGAUGGGGCUUCUCUUAGCAACCAUAGUGAUGCUAUGCUUCUGGAAGCAGAUCUGUCUCAGGGUUAUACAUACUGCAGAUGCUGCAGUUGAUAUGAGUAUUUUGAUAUGCUUGUUCCAAAUUGUGGAAGCUUGGCAAGAUUUGAUGUUCCCGUGGACUAUAUGUAGCUCUCCGACUCCGUAUCUCCGUUGCUCUGCACGACCUAUAUUAAGUUGUCUGACGUAAGGAGAAGACGGGGGAUGCAGUUGGUCAAAUUUGAUUUGACUUCGAGGACGUGAAUGGAGCAUGCGUAAGUUGCCAUAUUCUAAUCCUCUCUGGCCAAGUGCUGUCGGGUUUGUAGUGUCGAGAUUGGAGCUCCUUUGAUCAUUAUUAUGUGUCUAUUAGGAUUGAGAGGGGCACUGGUGCGAUCUUUCACCAGCCUAAAGAACUGAACUCGGAAAGUAGUAGUGGCACUGACGGCUUCGCAAAAUAGCAUCUCUGUCUGGUUCAUUAUCCUUGUUUUAAAUAACCGAGGAUAGAUUCUGUAUGUCCUGUGACCAAAACCUACAUUGUCUAAACUUACUGCAAUGAGUGCUAAUCUGAUAUGUCGCUUCGAGUCU